UUAGUCAAUAUUAGUUCCUAUAUUCUAGCCUUAGAUUACGUUGUAUAUGGUGUAUAUAAUUAUACUCAAGGAAUGAAAAUAAUCACGGAAUUAUCUUCUUUCAUUCAUCUCUUCGAUUCCUCAACAUUCUGAAACCCUAAAUCCUUCUUGCACUCUUCGCACUUUUGGUAAGAUUCUUCUUUGAACUUUGUUGUGGGUUUGCUACUUUUGUGUGCACGACUGAGGAUGGUCCGAUUAAGAAGAAUUGAUUGGCAUCAAUUCAUGUGUAAGUUGGCUGAAGAUGGUAUCAAAGGAAAGUAGGGAGUCGGAUGAACCCUAGCUAUUAUGCCGAAUUCAAAGGUAAGAUAAUCUAUGUGUUAUAGUAAUCAGAUGCCACCACCGAUGAGUUCUUAUGAAGAAAGCAGUGGUGGUUAUGGGCUUUCUUAUUAUUGAGGUAGUAUUUUCUUUAUAAAUUGAUGAAUCUUUACUAAUUGCUUCUGUAAUGCUGUCGGUCUAUGAAUUUCAAUAGUGAUUACUUUGAUAGGGAGUAAUUGACUAGCUCUUUAAUAUGUUAUAGUAUGUUGGAUUCAUUAUCUGGAUUUUACGUUGAUUGUACUAUGUACCAUAAAAUUAUAGUAAGAUUAUCUGGUUCUUUGAUUUGUUAUAGUAAGAUUAUUAGAUUGUGCUGGACUUACUAUCUGAUUCUGUUUGGUAGAGGACUUAAUGAUCACAGUCUUCAGUGUUCCUUAUAACACUUAGAAACUCCCUCCAUUGUCUUGAAAAAAAAGUACUCUUGUAGUGAAAAGAUACACCAAAUUCAGGUUUUAAAAGUCAUGUGUAAAAUAAGCUUUAUUUUUUUAUAUAUAAAAAAUAUAAUGGGUGCAUUUAUUGUCCUUUAAAACUCAUGAAUCCAAAUUUUGAGCACCGGUUUUAUUUGUCAUCAAAUAUACCCUAAGAUCAUAAAUCUUACCAGGCCUAGAAAUUAAGGAAUAUGUUGCAUUAUCUGGAUAUUGAAGCAUAAAUCGUGACUCUAACCAUGACUCUUAGAUUAUUGGACAUUUGAACCACCAGGUUUAUGCUUGUAAUUGUUUUAUGAGGAGCGUAAUAUGAUUUCAUCUUUUCAUGAUUUGAAGGGGUGCAGGGUCAACAAUUUUAGUAGUGAUUUCGCCAUGAACUCUUAUUUGCAAAGUCUUAAUACAUCUGUUUCAUUAGUAUUUUUUUGACAGCAUUUAGAUAUUAUAUAAUUGAUGAAGAAUAACUCUAGUGACUUGUUGGGUGCCAAAAAAAGGGUUCCUGAUGGAGUGAUUGUGUAUAGAUUUAGUGCCAAUAGCAGGAGAAGAUGCUCAGGAUGCUCGUAGAAAUCAACUAGUUGUUGACGUCAAAGUCGAAUAUGGUUCUUGCUGCUAAGCUAGAGUGGGUACUGGUAACGCUGGUCAAGGAUAUGCUUUUGAUUGUCUUAUUUUCGUUUGCACUUGCAUAUGGUAUCUCCAACUUCAAUUUUAAUUUAUGGCUUAACGAUUUAUAGACAAACGGUUACUUCUAGAUGUUGAGUUGAUGUUGGUUAUUGCUGGUCUUCUUUAGUAUCUCGCUUUGCUGGUUGCAAAUGUUUCCACGGUUUGUUCAACAGGGCAUCAGAGUUUGAUCGAACUGCACCUAUUAACCUCACAAAAAAUCUUAUUUGUUCAUUCUCUACAGUUCAUUUUGAUGAUUGAAUUAUGCUGACUUCAGGGUUGAAAGGAAUCUUCCCAAGCUGCCAAAGCUGGUAUUGAGAAUGCAGUUAAACUGGUUUCAAUUCUGCCUUUGUUAGUCAGUCUGUCUAAAUAUAAUCUAGUAUAGUAUAAGAGUAGUCAUGCAUGCAGUCUCUUUAAACUCUGCGAGAAAAACUGAUGCAUGUUACAGGAUGUAAAAUUUUAAAGUAUUGUCUACAUGUAAUCGUGUUUUGGAGAAUGUUAUGUCACAGUAGUUUUAUUUAUUGCUUUGGAGAACAAGAAGUUGGUACAUUGGUCGGUUUGGAGAUUUUUUAUGCAUAUAUAUAGAGUUCAUGGAGAUAAUUUUUAUAUCA